rnacentral:rRNA from 1 species
GACGGACGCUGGCGGCGUGCCUAAUACAUGCAAGUCGAGCGAAGUUUUUCUGGUGCUUGCACUAGAAAAACUUAGCGGCGAACGGGUGAGUAACACGUAAAGAACCUGCCUCAUAGACUGGGACAACUAUUGGAAACGAUAGCUAAUACCGGAUAACAGUAUUUCUCGCAUGAGAGAUAUUUAAAAGUUGGUUAUGCUAACACUAUGAGAUGGCUUUGCGGUGCAUUAGCUAGUUGGUGGGGUAAAGGCCCACCAAGGCGACGAUGCAUAGCCGACCUGAGAGGGUGACCGGCCACACUGGGACUGAGACACGGCCCAGACUCCUACGGGAGGCAGCAGUAGGGAAUCUUCCGCAAUGGGCGAAAGCCUGACGGAGCAACGCCGCGUGAGUGAAGAAGGAUUUCGGUUCGUAAAGCUCUGUUGUUAGGGAAGAAUGGAUAUGUAGUAACUAUACAUGUAAGAGACGGUACCUAACCAGAAAGCCACGGCUAACUACGUG